rnacentral:rRNA from 1 species
GAUGAACGCUGGCGGCGUGCCUAACACAUGCAAGUCGAGCGAUUCUCUUCGGAGAAGAGCGGCGGACGGGUGAGUAACGCGUGGGUAACCUGCCCUGUACACGCGGAUAACAUACCGAAAGGUAUGCUAAUACGAGAUAAUAUGCUUUUAUCGCAUGGUAGAAGUAUCAAAGUUUUUGCGGUACAGGAUGGACCCGCGUCUGAUUAGCUAGGUGGUAAGGUAACGGCUUACCAAGGCGACGAUCAGUAGCCGACCUGAGAGGGUGAUCGGCCACAUCGGAACUGAGACACGGUCCAAACUCCUACGGGAAGGAGCAGUGGGGAAUAUUGCACAAUGGGCGAAAGCCUGAUGCAGCAACGCCGCGUGAGCGAUGAAGGCCUUCGGGUCGUAAAGCUCUGUCCUCAAGGAAGAUAAUGACGGUACUUGAGGAGGAAGCCCCGGCUAACUACGUGCCAGCCGCCGCAGUAA